CCGUGGUUCUCAGCCUCGACCGUCCACUCUCCCAUCCGAGCGGCUCCCCCGCGGUCCCUGGCUUCCCAUGGUCGCCGCGACCCAGCCAUGGAGCUUCCCCGCCGCUCAGCUCGGAGUUCCCACGGCUCGGUUCCAGUUCCAUGCGCGCGCGCUGAGCUCGGCGUUCUCUGUUUCCCCAUGGCCAAGCGCCCUCCGCCCCUCCCGCCCUCCAGCUCGACGGGCUUGGCUUCGAGCUCGCCCAGCUCGGCCGUCCUCCAAGUUUCUCCCUCCUUCCAGAAGCUUUCCCCAUGGCGCCCGGCUGGAUUUCCCCUCGGCUCGCCGCGCCCCUGUUUCCGUCGGUGUUUCUUCCACGGCCGCGCGCGAAGCUUUUCUGCCGGUGCGCGCGCCCGUCUCCCAUAGCCGCGGCGUCCUGGCUCCUGCUCCCUCGCCAUGGCCGCGGUGCUCCUCCCUGUUCGCCACGUUUCUGUUGCGAGCUCGUCCCUGGCACUGGGUUUCCUACCUGCAUCGCGCGUCUUCUUCCUCAGGCUCGCGCCCUUGCUGUUGUCGCGCCUGGCUCGCCCCUGUGCCGCGCACCGCUUCACCAGCUUGCCCCUUCCCUUGCCAAGCAGGUCGCCACGCCCAACCGAGUUUACCCCUGCGCGCAACCGUGGGUUUCGCUGCACAGCGUUCCUGCUCCCCAGCCUGCGUUGUGCUCGCCAGAUCGAGUCCCGCGUCGUCGAUCUACGCAGUUCCUGUUCGGCUAUCGGUUCCGCCUACGUCGAUCUCCUAAUUGCCAUGGAUAGUGUAUCGACGUCCCAUCACAAUAGCCCGUCGUAAAACUCUAGUGCUUGUCGUUGAUAUCCGGUCGUCUCCAGCCUUUGUCUUACCGUCGUCGUUCGGUCACCUCGUCUCGAUGUCGGUCCCUACGUGAUGUCUCCGAGUUUGAAUCACGCUGACAAAAGAAUUCCCAAGAAA